rnacentral:rRNA from 1 species
UCUGGCGGCGAUGGCGAGAAGGUCACACCCCAUACCGAACACGGAAGUUAAGCUUCUCAGCGCCGAUGGUAGUUAGGGGCUGUCCCCUUGUGAGAGUAGGACGCUGCCAGGC